GAAGCGUCUGGAAAGGCGCGCGAUACAGGGUGACAGCCCCGUACACAAAAAUGCACAUAUUGUGAGCUCGAUGAGUAGGGCGGGACACGUGGUAUCCUGUCUGAAUAUGGGGGGCCCAUCCUCCAAGGCUAAAUACUCCUGACUGACCGAUAGUGAACCAGUACCGUGAGGGAAAGGCGAAAAGAACCCCGGCGAGGGGAGUGAAAAAGAACCUGAAACCGUGUACGUACAAGCAGUGGGAGCACGCUUAGGCGUGUGACUGCGUACCUUUUGUAUAAUGGGUCAGCGACUUAUAUUCUGUAGCAAGGUUAACCGAAUAGGGGAGCCGAAGGGAAACCGAGUCUUAACUGGGCGUUAAGUUGCAGGGUAUAGACCCGAAACCCGGUGAUCUAGCCAUGGGCAGGUUGAAGGUUGGGUAACACUAACUGGAGGACCGAACCGACUAAUGUUGAAAAAUUAGCGGAUGACUUGUGGCUGGGGGUGAAAGGCCAAUCAAACCGGGAGAUAGCUGGUUCUCCCCGAAAGCUAUUUAGGUAGCGCCUCGUGAAUUCAUCUCCGGGGGUAGAGCACUGUUUCGGCAAGGGGGUCAUCCCGACUUACCAACCCGAUGCAAACUGCGAAUACCGGAGAAUGUUAUCACGGGAGACACACGGCGGGUGCUAACGUCCGUCGUGAAGAGGGAAACAACCCAGACCGCCAGCUAAGGUCCCAAAGUCAUGGUUAAGUGGGAAACGAUGUGGGAAGGCCCAGACAGCCAGGAUGUUGGCUUAGAAGCAGCCAUCAUUUAAAGAAAGCGUAAUAGCUCACUGGUCGAGUCGGCCUGCGCGGAAGAUGUAACGGGGCUAAACCAU
rnacentral:rRNA from 1 species